GCGCCUGUAGCUCAGUUGGAUAGAGCGGUGGUCUACGAAACCAAUGGUCGGAGGUUCGAAUCCUCUCAGGCGCGCCA
rnacentral:tRNA from 1 species